UCACAUGUCAUAGGUAUCUUUGCCAAGUGAUGAAGACCAAGAAGAGGGAAGAGGAAGUAAUAAACUACAAUGGUGCAUUUGUUCCAUCAAAAUCGCUUUGCAUCAAUUUCUACCUAAAACUGCUCAGAGAUGUCAGUAGAAUCAAGCAAGUAAGCAAGCAUUUACUGGGUGAUAGUGCACUAGCAUGACUAAUGACCCUAAAGAAGAUACUGCAAGCAAUACCUCAGGAUUUCUGAAAACUCUUCUAAUGCUCUCAGCCCAGGACGUAGGCUUCUCUGAUUGGAGUGACCACAUAGUCUUGAAACAUGGCAAACUUUGGAGAGUAAGGCAUUGCAUUUUAGUUCUUAUUCUGAACAGGAGUUGGACCCCUCACCUGAAGGGGAAAAUAGUGAGAUGUUUUAUCCUGUGGUGAUCACCAGAAACAAAGACAAAUGACAGAGGGUGAUGUGUGGGAGGAAAGAGCACCCACUCUGGAGGUAGUUAUCUGUCCUACAAAAAGUCUGGCUACCUGGAGAGUAAUACUAAGAGAGCUGUGUAAACUGAAUCUGACUUUCUUCUUACUUCUACAAUUAUGGAUGUAGCCAUCAUUGUACAUCCAAGUCUUCCUAAAUAAGCUUAAUUCUAGCUGAGUUAUAUGCCUGUAGUCUCAGCACUUAGGAGACUGAGAUAAGAUUACAACUUCAGGCCAAAAUAAAGCUAUUCUAUUCAAAAAAAGUAAAAGAAAAGAAAAGAUGAUUAAGAGACAUUCAUGUCCUAUCCUUGACCACAGUUUUAUAAAAUGUGUUCAUGAUGAAGAGAGUCAUUCCUCACUUCAAUAGGAAUGACUUCCUUAUAUGAAUUUGAUAUCAUGUAAAGACACAGAAGAAGCAAAUUGAGUGAUAAUAUGGCAGAAAAUGUUCUGUGAUGUAUCUAAAGAACAAGAAAUGCCAUGUAUGGGUUGGCUCACCCCUAAUAGGCUUGAAGGCCACCAGGCCCAAACAAUGAUACUUUCUGAGAGCCAACCUGGGUCUGCCUAAGGGCCUUAGCAACAGCAGCUGAAACAUGAUCUGGAGAUGACUUGGACCAAUGAGAAGUAGCCAUGUCAUACCAACAGAUGCAUAUUUCUCAGAACUUCCCCCAGGGUAGGGUGGAGGGUAUAUAAGGCUUGCCUC